GGAAACUUUAAAACUACCGUUGGAUCGAGAUCUGGAUGUUCGAGAUUCGUCCACGUCACUAUGAGUUAAAAUUUAACUCCCAGUAAAAUUUUAACUCAUGAGUGAAUCUGCGAGUUAAAUUUUAACUCAUGGUGACAUGGACGAAUCUCGAACGUCCAUUUCUCGAUCCAACAGUAAUUUUCAAGUUUUC
rnacentral:pre_miRNA from 1 species